UACGGAGGGUGCAAGCGUUAUCCGGAUUCACUGGGUUUAAAGGGUGCGUAGGUGGGCAAGUAAGUCAGUGGUGAAAUCUCCGGGCUUAACCCGGAAACUGCCAUUGAUACUAUUUGUCUUGAAUACUGUGGGAGGUCAGCGGAAUAUGUCAUGUAGCGGUGAAAUGCUUAGAUAUGACAUAGAACACCAAUUGCGAAGGCAGCUGGCUACACAAAUAUUGACACUGAGGCACGAAAGCGUGGGGAUCAAACAGG
rnacentral:rRNA from 1 species